CCUGUAGUUGCCAGUGAGGAGAAGCCAGGCUCAAGGUGGCAACAUCUCCAAGUGCACCCAGACCAUAUGCCAGCCUGUCUCCCAUGGGCUCAAGAGGUCAUCCUGCCCCAGAGGUAUAGUGGCACUGCCCACGCCUCAGCUGAGCCUGUAAACUCCCCAGCCUGCACGGACCUCCCCUUCAGGCCUGGCUGUGGCAGCCCUGCCCCACACUGAAUUCCCCCACAUGCUCUGGGGCUGAGGUCAUUGAAUCUCUCCGGGGCCUUCCCUAUAGGACUGAAGUGCUGAUCCAGAGACAUUAGCUGGGUGACUAGCUAUUUGUGUACUACCAAAAAGUACCCUGGGAAGGCCAAGUGUAGGCACCUGUUCCCCAGCAGUCCUGGGAAGAUUGCUGGGUGAGAGUGCAGACAUCUGUCCCCAGAAGACUUGGCUAGAGUCUGUGAAGUUUCCUCUAGAAAAUAAUACUGAAAGGAAACAGCUGCACUUCCCUGUGUCCACACCAGGAACACCAUCCUCCUCCUGCAGAACUGAUCCAGUCUUUAUCAGCCCACUGUCUUUCUGGAGCUUUGGAGGGCUGCUGAGCAGAGCUGUUCUUAGAGGGUGGUGGUGGCAGGUUGGAAGGCUACAGACUCCAGCACAGAAAUGGACCUGUACCUGAUGAUUGAGAAGGUGUGGGGCCCCUACAGGUGAUUCUGGAGUGGAAAGGCACUGUGCUGGAAUGGAUCAGGGCCCUGGGGCCCGCAGCAGGGGUGUGUCUACUGGUGGCGAGAGGACCCCCUGCUUUAGGCUCCAGCAGUUCAGUUCAGAGGAAAACUUGUCAGUAGAGGACUGCUGAGGGUGUCCAGACUGAGGAUGCAAUCAAAACACUCCUGCCAUGGAACUUGAAUGGGUUGACUGGUGGAUCCCCAAAAGAUAUGUCCAUGCCCUAACCCCCAAAACCUGUGAAUAUGAUCUUAUUUUGGAAAAGGGUCACUGCAGAUGCAAUUAAGAAUCCUGAGAUGAGAUCAUUCUGGAUAAUCCAGCUGUGUCUCAAAUCCCAUGACAAGUGUCCUUAUAAGAGCAGGAGAAGGGAACUCACAGAUACCGAGAAGGCCACGUGAAGACAAAGGUAGAGAUAUGAGUCAUGCCACUGCAAGCCAAGGAAAGUCUGGCGCCACCCGAGGCUGGAAGAGGGGCAAUUUCGGAGAGAGUGCAGCCCUACUUUCCGGUCCCCAGAA